rnacentral:rRNA from 1 species
UGAUUAGGGAUCGAGGCGAAAGCCUGAUCCGCCCUGCCGCGUGUGUGAAAAGGUCUUCGGGUUGUAAAGCACUUUAAGUUGGGAGGAAGGGCAGUAAGCUAAUACCUUGCUGUUUUGACGUUACCGACAGAAUAAGCACCGGCUAACUCUGUGCCAGCAGCCGCGGUAAUA